AUGGUACUCAAGCUCAUAGGCAGUCUGUCAGGUCACAUGAUUUCUGGCUCACCCAUGGAUUUUAAGAAUGAAGAUAGAGAGAUGGAAGCUCUCAAGGCAAUCCAAGGACAGGAGGAAGAGUGGGCUGGGCUCCAUGAAGCUUGGAAGCAGUGGCUACUUCUGCACCUAAAGUGGUUCUGGCCUUCGGUCAAGUGUCCACUCUCCAACCCUCUCAAAUAUGGCAAGUCAAAAAAAUGGUCUGGUAAGAUAAAACAUGGAAGGUGGCCAGCUGAGUUCUGGAAGUAAUUACUAAAUAAGGGCAAAUAAGGAGACUGCUAAAUUCAAAACAAUCUCUGGGAGCGAAACUAUGAAGACUCAACAUUUGACAGAAUAAAUCAGCAUCUUGAGAAGGUAGAGACCCA
rnacentral:lncRNA from 12 species